rnacentral:rRNA from 1 species
UUUAUUAAAAACAUGGCCUUUUGAUAAUAAUUUAAGGUCUAACCUGCCCAAUGAGUUGAUUGAAUGGCCGCAGUACUUUGACUGUGCAAAGGUAGCAUAAUCAUUAGUUUUUUAAUUGAAAGCUAGAAUGAAAGGUUGAAUGAGAAAAUAACUGUCUCUAUAGGAUUUUAUUAGAAUUUUAUUUUUAAGUUAAAAAGCUUAAAUGUUUAUAGAAGACGAGAAGACCCUGUAGAAUUUUAUAUUUUUUGUGUAAUGGUUAGUGGACAUUUGUAUCUAUUAUUUAUAAAAAUAUUUGGUUGGGGUGACUUAAAAAUUAGAAAAACUUUUUUUGCAUGAUUACAUUUAUUUAUGAUUUCUUGAUCCUUAAUAAAGAUUAUAAGAUUAAAUUACCUCAGGGAUAACAGCGUAAUUUUUCUUUAAAGUUCAAAUUGAAAGAAAAGUUUGCGACCUCGAUGUUGGAUUAAAAUAAAAUUUCGGCGCAGUAGUUGGAAUAUUUAGGUCUGUUCGACCUUUAAAAUUUUACAUGAUCUGAGUUUAAACCGGCGUGAGCCAGGU